rnacentral:rRNA from 1 species
CAGCCGCCGCGGGAAUACGUAUGUCACAAGCGUUAUCCGGAUUUAUUGGGCGUAAAGCGCGUCUAGGUGGUUAUGUAAGUCCGAUGUGAAAAUGCAGGGCUCAACUCUGUAUUGCGUUGGAAACUGUGUAACUAGAGUACUGGAGAGGUAAGCGGAACUACAAGUGUAGAGGUGAAAUUCGUAGAUAUUUGUAGGAAUGCCGAUGGGGAAGCCAGCUUACUGGACAGAUACAGACGCUAAAGCGCGAAAGCGAGGGUAGCAAACAGGAUUAGAUACCCGUGUAGUCCCUGUCUCUUAUACA